GACGAACGCUGGCGGCGUGCCUAAUCCAUGCAAGUAGAACGCAGUUGCUAACGGGUGAGUAACGCGUCGGUAAAUGCCUCAUAGAGGGGGAUAACUCUUGGAAACGAUAGCUAAUACCGCAUACUGUGAGAUGGACCGGCGUUGUAUUAGCUAGUGGGUGCGGUAAAGGCGCACCAAGGCGACGAUACAUCGCCGACCUGAGAGGUGGAUCGGCCACACUGGGACUGAGACACGGCCCAGACUCCUACGGGAGGCAGCAUUAGGGAAUCUUCGGCAAUGGACGGAAGUCUGACCGAGCAACGCCGCGUGAGUGAAGAAGGUUUUCGGAUCGUAAAGCUCUGUUGUUAGAGAAGAGGUAACUAACCAUAAAGGGACGGCUAACUACGUGCCAGCAGCCGCGGUAAUUC
rnacentral:rRNA from 1 species